rnacentral:rRNA from 1 species
ACUCCUACGGGAGGCAGCAGUGGGGAAUAUUGCACAAUGGGGAAAGCCCAUCGAUGCAGCCAUGCCGCGUGUGUGAAGAAGGCCAUUCGGGCUUGGUUAAAGACACUUUUCAGCGAGGAGGAAAGGGUGUGUGCUAAUACCAUACAUCUGUGACGUUACUCGCAGAAGAAGCACCGGCUAACUCCGUGCCAGCAGCCGCGGUAAUACGGAGGGUGCGAGCGUUAAUCGGAAUUACUGGGCGUAAAGCGUGCGCAGGCGGUUUGUUAAGCGAGAUGUGAAAGCCC